rnacentral:lncRNA from 1 species
UGCUGAUGGCUGGCUGGCUACCUUCGUGGCUGGGACAGAGGGCAGGCAGGAGGACUUCUCCUGCAGGCAGGCAGACUUCUCCUGCAGGCAGGCAUGCAAACUAUGUAAUCUCUGUAACAAGCAGAGAUCAGCCAGAGGCCUUUAAUGCUGCUGAGACCUUGACUACACAAGCACUGAGGAGAAACUGCCAGGCACACCUUGGAAGAGGAACAAUAACCCAUAAUUUGAUGACUCUAAAAGGUCCUGAGCAUUGGCUCCAACUCAGCCAUUGGGAAUUACCACCAGGAUGCUUCCUGGACACUCCAGGGACCAGUUUGGCUGGAAUUUCUCUUGUGUUUUGCACAGCACAUGCAGAGCCAGGAAUGGAUCCACACACAUACACACUGUACGAGGGAAAGCUGAAGCUGUAUGUUCUGGAUUUUCUCCUGAACAAGGAAGGAAAACUCCCAGCUUGCUAUGAAAUAUGUUCCCACUGAAGCAAAGUUGAGCACCACAAUGUUGGGGGAAGAGAAAAGCUUCAACAAGAAGAGAGCCCUGAGGUCAAACUGAAGAGAAUAUUCAACCACCCUCCUAGCAGAGCAUUGUCUGAACAUGCCCAGUGCUAUAUAGCAUUUAACACACUCUAUAUUCCAAAAGAAUACCCUGAAGCUGAAGUCUAUGCAUUCAAAUGUAUGCUGCAUGUUUCAUCUUUCAGGGUUUUGAAGAUCACCAACAUUAGCUUAUACAUUAACUGUACUUCAGUAAUGAAUUUAGGCAGAGCUAAUCAGGCCAUUCUGCAGUAAGCUUGGCCUUUAAAAUCCCAAAGUGUGCCAGUCUAAUUUUGGCAGUCAAUUUUCCUCUUUAGUGCAUUUUUACAAUUUCUAUUCAAACCAGCUCUCCAGAUAUACAAGUUCCCCAAAUGCUGGUUCCAGUGUAAAUUAUCAGCCUUUCCACAUUUAGGCACUGGAGAUCAAGCUUUGCAAAACAGGCCUACAUAAAAGAAAGAGAAAUAAAACUCUAGGAGUUGCAGAAAAUAAACA